CCUACGGGGGGCAGCAGUGAGGAAUAUUGGUCAAUGGGCGAGAGCCUGAACCAGCCAAGUCGCGUGAAGGAUGAAGGAUCUAUGGUUUGUAAACUUCUUUUAUACGGGAAUAAAGUUCAGGACGUGUCCUGUUUUGUAUGUACCGUUAUGAAUAAGCAUCGGCUAACUCCGUGCCAGCAGCCGCGGUAAUACGGAGGAUGCGAGCGUUAUCCGGAUUUAUUGGGUUUAAAGGGUGCGUAGGUGGUAGAUUAAGUCAGCGGUGAAAGUUUGUCGCUCA
rnacentral:rRNA from 1 species